UCUGGAGACAGGUGCUGCAUGGCUGUCGUCAGCUCGUGUCGUGAGAUGUUGGGUUAAGUCCCGCAACGAGCGCAACCCUUGCCUUUAGUUGCCAGCAGUUCGGCUGGGCACUCUAAAGGGACUGCCGGUGUUAAACCGGAGGAAGUGGGGAUGACGUCAAGUCCUCAUGGCCUUUAUGACCAGGGCUACACACGUACUACAAUGGCCGAUACAAAGGGCAGCGACACUGCGAGGUGAAGCCAAUCCCGUAAAAAUCGGUCUCAGUCCGGAUUGGAGUCUGCAACUCGACUCCAUGAAGUUGGAAUCGCUAGUAAUCGUGGAUCAGCAUGCCACGGUGAAUACGUUCCCGGGCCUU
rnacentral:rRNA from 1 species